AUACGUAGGGAGCGAGCGUUGUCCGGAAUUACUGGAUGUAAAGGGAGCGUAGGCGGGAGUGCAAGUCAGAUGUGAAAUACAUGGGCUCAACCCAUGGGCUGCAUUUGAAACUGCAUUUCUUGAGUGAAGUAGAGGUAAGCGGAAUUCCUGGUGUAGCGGUGAAAUGCGUAGAUAUCAGGAGGAACAUCGGUGGCGAAGGCGGCUUACUGGGCCUUUACUGACGCUGAGGCACGAAAGCGUGGGGAGCAAACAGGAUUAGAUACCCUGGUAGUCCACGCUGUAAACGAUGAUGACUAGGUGUGGGGGGACUGAACCCUUCCGUGCCGCAGUUAACACAAUAAGUCAUCCGCCUGGGGAGUACGGCCGCAAGGUUGAAACUCAAAUGAAUUGACGGGG
rnacentral:rRNA from 1 species